rfam:Bacteroides plebeius CAG:211 genomic scaffold, scf313
AAAACAAGAAAAAUAACAUUAUGAAUCUUUCUACGGUAAAUACAUUCUUCUGGUGGCGCCGCUUACAACUCCAAAGGUCGUAAGGGAACUCAGUCGCAUGUAUAUACCUCAAUAGUAAUAAUAUCACAGAAGGGCUGUC